rnacentral:rRNA from 1 species
GACGAACGCUGGCGGCGUACUUAACACAUGCAAGUCGAACGGAAAGGCCCUGCUUUUGUGGGGUGCUCGAGUGGCGAACGGGUGAGUAACACGUGAGUAACCUGCCCUUGACUUUGGGAUAACUUCAGGAAACUGGGGCUAAUACCGGAUAGGAGCUCCUGCUGCAUGGUGGGGGUUGGAAAGUUUCGGCGGUUGGGGAUGGACUCGCGGCUUAUCAGCUUGUUGGUGGGUUAGUGGCUUACCAAGGCUUUGACGGGUAGCCGGCCUGAGAGGGUGACCGGCCACAUUGGGACUGAGAUACGGCCCAGACUCCUACGGGAGGCAGCAGUGGGGAAUAUUGCACAAUGGGCGGAAGCCUGAUGCAGCAACGCCGCGUGCGGGAUGACGGCCUUCGGGUUGUAAACCGCUUUCGCCUGUGACGAAGCGUGAGUGACGGUAAUGGGUAAAGAAGCACCGGCUAACUACGUG